UACGUAGGGUGCGAGCGUUAAUCGGAAUUACUGGGCGUAAAGCGUGCGCAGGCGGUGAUGUAAGACAGGUGUGAAAUCCCCGGGCUUAACCUGGGAACUGCAUUUGUGACUGCAUCGCUGGAGUGCGGCAGAGGGGGAUGGAUUCCGCGUGUAGCAGUGAAAUGCGUAGAUAUGCGGAGGAACACCGAUGGCGAAGGCAAUCCCCUGGGCCUGCACUGACGCUCCAUGCACGAAAGCGUGGGGAGCAAACAGG
rnacentral:rRNA from 1 species